rnacentral:lncRNA from 1 species
UACAUUACAAUAAUUUAAAUAAAAUUAAAAACAUAAUUAAAAUACGCUAAUAAAUUAAAAAAAAAAACAUAAUUUCCUAAUUUAAAUAAGCCCUCGACGCUUGAGCACUUCUUGGACUAGGUGGUUGUGCAAAGCCAAUUGUGCAUCCGUCAUACCCGUCGUAUCCUUGUUCAAGAGCUUCAUAUCCAUCUCCUCCCGUUUCAUCUCGGCUUGCAUUUUUUUGGCAUGGGCGAUUUCCCCCGUUUUGAGAGCAUGCUCCUUCAUGCUUUCGGCAACCUUCUCGAGGGCGUCGGAGAACGCCGAUCCUCCUCCCGAAGACCCUUCUCCCUUCUUCGCCUUGCCCUUGUCUCGCUUUGCCGCUUUUUGGCCUUGGGGUCUCGCCG